rnacentral:rRNA from 1 species
AUUGAACGCUGGCGGAAUGCUUUACACAUGCAAGUCGAACGGCAGCACGGACUUCGGUCUGGUGGCGAGUGGCGAACGGGUGAGUAAUGUAUCGGAACGUGCCCAGUCGUGGGGGAUAACGUAGUGAAAAUUACGCUAAUACCGCAUACGAUCUAUGGAUGAAAGCGGGGGAUCGCAAGACCUCGCGCGAUUGGAGCGGCCGAUAUCAGAUUAGGUAGUUGGUGGGGUAAAGGCCCACCAAGCCAACGAUCUGUAGCUGGUCUGAGAGGACGACCAGCCAAACUGGAACUGUGACACGGUCCAGCCUCCUACGGGAGGCCGCAGUGGGGAAUUGUGGACAAUGGGCGAAAGCCUGAUCCAGCCAUUCCGCGUGCAGGAUGAAGGCCCUCGGGUUGUAAACUGCUUUUGUACAGAACGAAAAGGUUUCUACUAAUACUAGGAGCUCAUGACGGUACUGUAGAAUAAGCACCGGCUAACUACGUGCCAGCCGCCGCAGUAA